AUGGUGCCGAAGCCGGAGAGAUGGGCUUGGGGCUGGCCGCACUCGCAGGCGAUUGCCAGCCCCUUCCUCAGCCUCGUCGCCUCGGCAUGGCUUCUGCUGCCCACUCACCAAGGCGGGGGUGAGGACGACGGCGCCUCAAGGAGCGGGCGCAAGGCUGAGGCGCGGCUCUUGGGCGAUUCCUGGCAGCAGAGAAGGCUGGAGAGGCUCCUGCGGUGGCGGCUGCUGCUGUUGCCAAAGGGAGAGGAAGGCAGGGUGGGCGUGGGGUGGGCUGAGCCCAAGGGGGAUGCGCAGAUGGGAGGGAGGGAAGGAGGGGAGAGGCUGCCCAGGAGGAGGGAAGAGAGAUGGGGGGCUGGCGCUGGCCUUACUUGGGUUGCCCGAAGCCAGCCCUCCAUCCUCCCGCCUCCUGAGCAUCCUAUCAGCAUCCACCUGCUGCUGCCCCUAUCUGCCCUUCUUCCCUCUUUCCUUCUUGCCCCUUAUCCACCCAAGCACCCCCUUCCCUUGCUUGCACUGAAGGAUUUGGGGAGGGAAGUGGCACCAUACCAUUUUUAUUUCCUUCCAAGCAAGUCCUUCUCCUUCUUUCUUAACCUGUGCACUGAAUCGACUCUAAUAAAUAAUAAUAAUAAUAAUAAUAAUAAUAAUAAUAAUAAUAAUAUUGAUCAUAUCCUCAGCUGCUGUAAGAAAAUCGCACAGACAGACUACAAACAGAGGCACAACUAUGUGGCCCAAAUGAUUCAUUGGAACUUAUGCCUCAAGUACCACCUCCCUGCAGUAAAGAACUGGUGGGAUCACAAACCUGCAAAAGUAUUGGAGAAUAAGCACGCAAAGGUACUGUGGGACUUCCGAAUCCAGACUGACAAAGUUCUGGAACACAACACACCAGACAUCACAGUUGUGGAAAAGAACAAAGUUUGGAUCAUUGAUGUUGCCAUCCCAGGUGACAGUCGCAUUGAAGAAAAACAACAGGAAAAACUCAGCCGCUAUCAGGACCUCAAGAUUGAACUUCAAAGACUCUGGCAGAAACCAGUGCAGGUGGUCCCGGUGGUGAUGGGCACACUGGGUGCCGUGCCAAAAGAUCUCAGCCGUCAUUUGGAAACAAUAGACAUUGACAAAAUUACGAUCUGCCAACUGCAAAAGGCCACCUUACUGGGAUCUGCACGCAUCAUCCGAAAAUACAUCACACAGUCCUAG
rnacentral:lncRNA from 1 species